UACGUAGGGUGCGAGCGUUAAUCGGAAUUACUGGGCGUAAAGCGUGCGCAGGCGGCUUUGCAAGACAGAUGUGAAAUCCCCGAGCUCAACUUGGGAACUGCGUUUGGAACUGUCAGACUAGAGUGCGUCAGAGGGGGGUGGAAUUCCACGUGUAGCAGUGAAAUGCGUAGAUAUGCGGAGGAACACCAAUGGCGAAGGCAAUCCCCUGGGCCUGUACUGACGCUCAUGCACGAAAGCGUGGGGAGCAAACAGG
rnacentral:rRNA from 1 species